AACUUUUAGCAAUGGAUGUCUUGGGUCACACAACGAUGAAGAACGCAGCGAAAUGCGAUACGUAAUGCGAAUUGCAGAACUUCGUGAAUCAUCAAAAUUUUGAACGCACAUUGCGCUACUGAGUAAUCUCAGUAGCAUGCUUAUCUGAGUGUCU
rnacentral:rRNA from 15 species